UGGGGAAUUUUGGACAAUGGGCGAAAGCCUGAUCCAGCAAUGCCGCGUGUGUGAAGAAGGCCUUCGGGUUGUAAAGCACUUUUGUCCGGAAAGAAAUCCUUGGCUCUAAUACAGUCGGGGGAUGACGGUACCGGAAGAAUAAGCACCGGCUAACUACGUGCCAGCAGCCGCGGUAAUACGUAGGGUGCAAGCGUUAAUCGGAAUUACUGGGCGUAAAGCGUGCGCAGGCGGUUUGCUAAGACCGAUGUGAAAUCCCCGGGCUCAACCUGGGAACUGCAUUGGUGACUGGCAGGCUAGAGUAUGGCAGAGGGGGAUAGAAUUCCACGUGUAGCAGUGAAAUGCGUAGAGAUGUGGAGGAAUACCGAUGGCGAAGGCAGCCCCCUGGGCCAAUACUGACGCUCAUGCACGAAAGCGUGGGGAGCAAACAGGAUUAGAUACCCUGGUAGUCCACGCCCUAAACGAUGUCAACUAGUUGUUGGGGAUUCAUUUCCUUAGUAACGUAGCUAACGCGUGAAGUUGACCGCCUGGGGAGUACGGUCGCAAGAUUAAAACUUAAAUGAAUUGACGGGGUCAUAGCUGUUUCCU
rnacentral:rRNA from 1 species